UUAACACACACAAGCACAAAGAAGGGCAGUUUGCAGUAUAUGUAAAUUGCAAGAAGUAAAUGCAAACCGAGUUAUAGUAGUUCGGUUGUCGUGACCUACAUCCACUCCACCGAUUCCUUUUUUAUCGAGGUCACCGACAUCCACUAAUGAUCUUCUUUUAAUAGCCAAAGAUCAAUAUUCUUCUUAUAACUCUAUUCUCAUUUUGCAAGCUCAAGAGAGAACCUUUACACCCCCUUUUUAUAAAGCUUCUCUCACACU
rnacentral:lncRNA from 1 species